rnacentral:lncRNA from 1 species
UGCUCAUGUCCUUGUCGACAACCUCAUCCACCAUCAACUCUUCCAUGCUUGUCCAACCAGCAAUCUCUCUGUACACUUCUUCUGCCAACCACUCCUUUCUUUGGACCAGUGCCGUCCACUUUGCCCAAGCUUCAAAACUUCCACCGGAACUCUGUUUACAUCUGAAUUCCAGACAUUCAACCACCGAGUCAAACAAUACUCUCCUCCUAAUCUUCAACUGCUCUUCUACAUUUUUAUUCGUUCGAGUCUUCUGAUUCUCCAACUGGUCAAAGAG